GUGUGUGUGUGUGUGUGUGUGUGUAGCCAGCUAUAAGAUGCAAUCAAACUAGGUUUUCAAGUUAUUGAGAAAACAUCGAGGUGAACAGACAUUGCCGAGAAGCUGAGCAAUUUCAACAUUUGGAUUGUACCCUGUGUACUGAAGUAGAACUGUGUACUGAAGUAGAACUGCUCACUUCUGACUCAACAAUGAAAGCUGUUCUUAUAACCUUCGUGACUUUACUGUGUAUCUCUACAAUGAUGCUUCCAAACGCAAUCAUGCCGAGACUUUCAGUUGCUGGAGACCCCUUUAUGAGUUUUGGAAAAAACAACAACAACAAAAAAGCCAGCGAUUGUCCCGAGCGUAAGUGUGCACGGUCUAGUCUCGACAGGAAUAUAAAAUCACAUUUCAAAGGUUAAGGCAAGACCUGGUAUGUGUACACUUUUAGAGUCACUCAUGGACUAACAUCUACAACCUUUUGAAAAAAAAAAACAGAAAAGCGGAAACCAAAUUUUGAAUAUACUGUUUAGAUUUUACAAUUAGACAUCCCUAACUUUCAGUUGAACAAAUGUUUUAAAGUCUGAUCAAAUAAAAGUACAUCAGUAGCAGGUCUGGCUUGUUCACUGUUUCAAGUUUACUUAUUUAGUAUUUGAGUUAUACGAUGAUUAGAAAUGCAAUCCAGAAAAUUAUUUUAGGAUUCAGCUCUUAUUUCGUCAUCGAAGAGAAGGGAAAUUUCUCAUCCUGCUGCAAAUAUAUCUGACACAUACAUGCAUGGGGAAGUUGUGUCUGCUGGAGAUAUACCUGCUACAUACAUGCUGCUUACAUGCAUGGGGAAGUUGUGUCUUCUGGAGAUAUACCUGGAGAUAUACCUGCCACAUACAUGCAUGGAGAAGUUGUGUCUGCUGGAGAUAUAACUGCCACAUACAUGCAUGGGGAAGUUGUGUAUUUGCACGGGGAAAAAAGAUCGCAUCUGAAUCUGGCCAUCAAUCAUGCCGAGAC
rnacentral:sRNA from 1 species